UCAGCUGCCAUGUUGUGAGAAUACUCAGGCAGCCUAGAGAGAGAUUAAUGUGGUGAGACUGAGGCUGGUUGCCAAUAUCCAUGUGUAUGAUGAAACUGACCAAGGAGUAAAUGACUUGGCUGAAGUGAAAUAGUGAUGGAAGUAAGAGUGUGUUGAAGGCUUGCAACCUCCAAGGUACUUGGCAUUCAAUGUUCCAUAAGAAGUUAAGAUGUAUGUGUUGUUGUUCUCACCCAGAAAAAAAUCUUUCAGAAUACAAGAAGAAAUCAGCAGUCUGCAACUUGGAAGAGGGCCCUGACCAAACUCAGUGAUGCUGGCACCCUAAUCUUGGACUUCCAGCCUCCAGAUGUGUGAAAAAUAAAUUUGUUUUUACAAACUA